rnacentral:rRNA from 1 species
AGCGGCGGACGGGUUAGUAACGCGUGGGAACGUACCCUUUUCUACGGAAUAGCCUCGGGAAACUGAGAGUAAUACCGUAUAAGCCCUUCGGGGGAAAGAUUUAUCGGGAAAGGAUCGGCCCGCGUUAGAUUAGAUAGUUGGUGGGGUAAUGGCCUACCAAGUCUACGAUCUAUAGCUGGUUUUAGAGGAUGAUCAGCAACACUGGGACUGAGACACGGCCCAGACUCCUACGGGAGGCAGCAGUGGGGAAUCUUAGACAAUGGGCGCAAGCCUGAUCUAGCCAUGCCGCGUGUGUGAUGAAGGCCUUAGGGUCGUAAAGCACUUUCGCCAGGGAUGAUAAUGACAGUACCUGGUAAAGAAACCCCGGCUAACUCCGUGCCAGCAGCCGCGGUAAUACGGAGGGGGUUAGCGUUGUUCGGAAUUACUGGGCGUAAAGCGUACGUAGGCGGAUCAGAAAGUAGGGGGUGAAAUCCCGAGGCUCAACCUCGGAACUGCCUCCUAAACUCCUGGUCUUGAGUUCGAGAGAGGUGAGUGGAAUUCCAAGUGUAGAGGUGAAAUUCGUAGAUAUUUGGAGGAACACCAGUGGCGAAAGCGGCUCACUGUCUCGAUACUGACGCUGAGGUACGAAAGUGUGGGGAGCAACAGGAUUAGAUACCCUGGUAGUCACACGA